GCUGCUCGAAACUUUGCACAUCUCUUCGUGGUGAGCAGCAGACAACGUUGAUACAGCGGCUAAGAAUGCAAAG
rnacentral:ribozyme from 17 species